rnacentral:rRNA from 1 species
CAGUAGCCGCAGUAAUACGAAGGGUGCAAGCGUUAAUCGGAAUUACUGGGCGUAAAGCGUGCGUAGGCGGUGAGUUAAGUCUGCUGUGAAAUCCCCGGGCUCAACCUGGGAAUGGCAGUGGAUACUGGCUCGCUAGAGUGUGUCAGAGGAUGGUGGAAUUCCCGGUGUAGCGGUGAAAUGCGUAGAGAUCGGGAGGAACAUCAGUGGCGAAGGCGGCCAUCUGGGACAACACUGACGCUGAGGCACGAAAGCGUGGGGAGCAAACAGGAUUAGAUACCCCAGUAGUCCCUGUCUCUUAUAC